UGGGGGAUAUUGCGCAAUGGGGGAAACCCUGACGCAGCAACGCCGCGUGAAGGAUGAAGGUCUUCGGAUUGUAAACUUUUGUCUUUGGUGACGAAGAAAAUGACGGUAGCCAAGGAGGAAGCCACGGCUAACUACGUGCCAGCAGCCGCGGUAAUACGUAGGUGGCAAGCGUUGUCCGGAUUUACUGGGUGUAAAGGGCGUGUAGACGGGGAGUCAAGUCAGAUGUGAAAUACCGCAGCUCAACUGCGGGGCUGCAUUUGAAACUGAUUCUCUUGAGUGCGGGAGAGGAAAGCGGAAUUCCUAGUGUAGCGGUGAAAUGCGUAGAUAUUAGGAGGAACACCAGUGGCGAAGGCGGCUUUCUGGACCGUAACUGACGUUGAGGCGCGAAAGCGUGGGUAGCAAACAGG
rnacentral:rRNA from 2 species